AGGACGAACGCUGGCGGCGUGCUUAACACAUGCAAGUGGAGCGACGAACCGGGGCUUGCCCCGGGGCAGAGCCGCGAACGGGUGAGUAACACGUGGGUUACCUGCCUCAAUGACCGGGACAACCCGAGGAAACUCGGGCUAAUACCGGAUGUGCCCGCAAGGGGAAAGGAAGCUUCGGCCUCCGCAUUGAGAUGGGCCCGCGGCCCAUUAGCUUGUUGGUGAGGUAACGGCUCACCAAGGCUUCGAUGGGUAGCUGGUCUGAGAGGACGAUCAGCCACACUGGGACUGAGACACGGCCCAGACUCCUACGGGAGGCAGCAGUGGGGAAUCUUGCGCAAUGCGCGAAAGCGUGACGCAGCAACGCCGCGUGGGGGAAGAAGGCUUUCGGGUUGUAAACCCCUUUCAGUUGGGACGAAGCUUCUUCGGUGAAUAGCCGAAUGGAGUGACGGUACCUUCACAAGAAGCACCGGCUAACUACGCGCAGCAGCCGCGGU
rnacentral:rRNA from 1 species